AGCGAACGCUGGCGGCAGGCUUAACACAUGCAAGUCGAGCGGACCUUUCGGGGUCAGCGGCGGACGGGUGAGUAACGCGUGGGAACGUGCCUUCCGGUUCGGAAUAACCCUGGGAAACUAGGGCUAAUACCGGAUACGCUCCUAUGGGGAAAGGUUUACUGCCGGAAGAUCGGCCCGCGUCCGAUUAGCCAGUUGGUGGGGUAACGGCCUACCAAGGCGGCGAUCAGUAGCUGGUCUGAGAGGAUGGUCAGCCACACUGGGACUGGGACACGGCCCAGACUCCUGCGGGAGGCAGCAGUGGGGAAUAUUGGACAAUGGGCGCAAGCCUGAUCCAGCCAUGCCGCGUGAGUGAUGAAGGCCUUAGGGUUGUAAAGCUCUUUUAACCGGGACGAUAAUGACGGUACCAGAGGAAUAAGCCCCGGCAAACUUCUU
rnacentral:rRNA from 1 species